GUCGUACCGAUGUCAAGACCCAUACCGGUCGGCAGGCGGUUCGGUACGGUACUUAUUCGGUACCGUACCAACACAUGGUACGCUUAGGCAUGCCAGUUUCGCCCUUUUUUUUGAAAACAAAAAGCUUUUUAGCUUUGAUUUACUAGUAGUCAAUUUUUUCAAUGAUUUUAAGUAUAAUUUGAUAUUUCUUGAUGUUUUUUGAUGUUUCUAUGACCCCAGUAUAACCUAAAUGAUGAAUCUUAUUAUUUUAAAGUGAUACAAAAUAUAAAAUGAUCAGUGAGAUGUUGCAUGCCACAAGAAGCAACAUGAAAUAUCCUAAAAUUAGCAAAUAUGUGGGCCACUUGCUUUUGUAUGAGGCAAUCUAUUUCUCUAGUUCAUUGUUGUCAAGAAACACACCAUAGAUGUCCUUCAGUCCUGGAGAAUCUACAACGGGACCAGCAGCCUAUAUAAAGAAAAUGGCAGACCUAUAGUAUGUAUAGUCUGUCGUAUUCACUGGGAUGUAGCUGAAGUGAAACCAAGAUCCAAUAGCUCGCCACAUAUCCUUCUUCUCAUCCUUCUUUAGCAUUGUAUCAACCCUACGCUCCUUCAAAUCCUUGCUGGAGAAGGCAUGUGGACCUCCAUCAUGGAUGGUGGCUCCUGAUGGAAUCUCCCUGGAGGACUUGUUUCUACUAUCAAAAGUCCCCAGCAUAGAUAUAAUAUGGCCACUGCCUCUGCUGA
rnacentral:lncRNA from 1 species